UACGAAGGGUGCAAGCGUUACUCGGAAUCACUGGGCGUAAAGCGUGCGUAGGCGGUUGAUUAAGUCUGCUGUGAAAGCCCUGGGCUCAACCUGGGAACUGCAGUGGAUACUGGUCAGCUAGAGUGUGAUAGAGGAUGGUGGAAUUCCCGGUGUAGCGGUGAAAUGCGUAGAGAUCGGGAGGAACACCAGUGGCGAAGGCGGCCAUCUGGAUCAACACUGACGCUGAGGCACGAAAGCGUGGGGAGCAAGCAGG
rnacentral:rRNA from 1 species